AUGCAUCUGGCCCGGAAAAGCCUGGAAGUGCACCUAGGGGCCCUGCCCGAACGGCUCUUGCGCUCCCAGCAGCAGGCAAGGGGAAGAACAUGCCGCCGCGUCCUGCCCAAGCUCAUCAAACCAGGGCAGACCCAGCCUCUGCUGCAGCAACGCCUGUGCCCCUGGCUGCAGGCCAAGGGCGACAGCAUCGCGGGCAACAUUCUAAGAAAGCAGGAGAUAAGACAGUGGGCUGUACCCAACCCUACAGAGAUCUCCCUGAACCUGCUGGUGCCAUGCCCCCCUCAUCUUCUGCUUCCCCGGAAUGUGGGUCUAACCGGGAAGCUCAUCCAAGGGAAAGAUCGUUUCCAGGGCCGGGCUGAGGCACGGGGGCAUGCCAGGAAGGGGCAGCAGUGCCGCCCCAAGGAGUCGGCAAAGAUUCCUUUGCCUCCGAGCCACACAGCAGCCAAGGAGCAAGAGCGUCCCACGGCUACCGCAGCGCUUCCUGGCCCGGCCAACACAUCGCUGCUAAAGGACGCCAGCUGUCAAACGGAUUCUGCAGGCCUGCGUGUGGCUGACGUCAAAACCAGGAGCCAGCGCCUCAGAGCAGCGCUUGCCAUCAUCUCAAAGCUGCAGCUCGGUCGGGCGGCUUUCGGGAAGCUCUCCAUGCACACGGCCAGAAAAUGCCUGGAGGUCAAGCUUCAACGCUUCCCUGCGGCAGUGCGGAGGUCCAUGCAGCAGCAGCGGGGGGCGCCCCACUCCCGGCCAGUUCGCAGAUACUUCCACAGCCGUCAGGCUCUGUUCCUGAAUGAGGAGCAGCGCGAGGACCUGGAGCUGCACAUCCGCUCCAUGAAGCUGGAGCGCCUUGGGAACCGCGUCAUCUCAGGCAGUCCGUUGAAGCCAGCAGUGUCCCAGGAGGAAGACUCUACCAGCUCAUAUGUGACUGCACCAUCUGAGGCAACCUGGGCUGAGGCAGGCCCCAAAGGACACAAGCGGCGGCCCCGGUGGAAGAAGCGCCCGAGCAGAGGCAGGAGUACCUGGAGUGCCGAAGCGGAAUGCGGCAGCUUUCGGUCUGCCAGGCUAACAUUCCGUGGAGUGCAAGGGAACACCGCCUACCGCAGCUCAUUGUUACAGCCCUGCAGUGACCCUGCGGCCCUACCAACUAGCAAGACGGUCUGGGGGAAGGUGUGCCCGAUGCCCCAGCUGCCGCGGAUCUCUGCCUCGAAGCCCUUCCAUCUUGUCAUCAAAGAGAGGAGGCGCCAAGGUCAGCAGCGCCUUCUGUACAAAAAAUCUUUUUUUCCUAAAUAA
rnacentral:lncRNA from 1 species